rnacentral:tRNA from 1 species
GAGGGUAUGGCUCAGUGGUAGAGUGUGUGCUGCAUGCAUGAGAUCCUGGGUUCAGUCCCCAGUACCUCCA